rnacentral:lncRNA from 1 species
UGGUUGAUCAAUGAUUAAGAAUCGUUAUAGGGUUAAACGAUCAAUAUGAUUGACAUUUAACCUAGUGUAAGUGUUGCAGGAGGAUCAAUUAGUAAUUUCAUUGCUAAUUGACUUAAUUUUAUUAAGCCAAUGGAUUGAGAUUAAGUUUAAUUGAAUAUGAUUUAAUUAAAUUUGGUUUGGGCUUGAUUGGAUUGAGUCCAAUUGAUUUA